rnacentral:misc_RNA from 1 species
GAUGAAGAACGUAGCGAAAUGCGAUACUUGGUGUGAAUUGCAGAAUCCCGUGAACCAUCGAGUCUUUGAACGCAAGUUGCGCCCGAAGCCUUUAGGCCGAGGGCACGCCUGCCUGGGCGUCACACGCCGUUGCCCCCCCCGCGCCUCCCUCGGGAGCGUCGGGGGGCGGACGAUGGCCUCCCGUGCGUCACCCCGCGCGGCUGGCACAAAUGCCGGGUCCUCGGCGACGAACGCCACGACAAUCGGUGGUUGUCGAACCUCGGUUGCCCGUUGUGCGCCUUCGUCGCGCUCCGAUCGGCCCGCGACGCUCCCCGCUCCGCUUCGGCCGAGCUUUCGACGCGACCCCAGGUCAGGCGGGGUUACCCGCUGAGUUUAAGCAUAUCAAUAAGCGGAGGA